UAAUAUGAUCCUUAGCCUAAACUUUCCUGAUGAUAAGAAUCACCUGGAAUGGUUGGAAAAAUAGAUUUCUAAAUAAGAAUUUCUAAGGGAAAGGCCUGGUAUUCUGUAUAAUUAGCAAAUGGCCCAAGGGUUUGUUUUUUGUGCUUUUUUUUUCUUUAACCAGGAAGGUUUUGGAAUGGACAAGUUGGUCUGGUGCACCUCAACAUGUAACAUUCCUACAAACCACCUGCAGAUCCUGAUUCCACUGGUCUAAACAGGGCCCGGGAGUCUCCAUUCCUGGCCGCUCCCGGGCAUUUAGCCUGGGGACCACAUUCUGAGUGGCAUGCCUCAGGGAUUCUCAAGGCGUGCUCCAGGGCCCGCAGUAUGGGCAGCAGCUGGGAACCUCUUACAAAGGCACACUCUCGGCCCCACUCCACACCGACUGAGCCAGGAAAAACUCUGGGGAAGGGCCCAGCCAUCUGUUUGUAGGUCUCCAGCUGCCUGCCUGUGUUCUUCCCUGGGUCUCUCCCCGACCCUAUGCUGGGGUCGCAGUAUCUGUCCUGCAUUACUUAGAGGCAUCCACCUGGAAGGGAGAUGAUGACACAGAAGCUUGAAAGCCCAUGUCCCCGGCUGUGGCUGGAGAGAAGGGGAAUCCCGAGGCUGACACGUGGCAUGCAUUCACCAGGCAGGCAGCCCUGGACAUUUCAGUGCCCUGGGUCAGAGUCCCAAGUUUGUGACCCUAGAUGGGGUCCUGAAGAGAACACAGUGGAUAUUUGUUGUGUUUUGUGACACCCAACAAUAGUCAUUGAAAAUACUUUCUGUGUUUGGGGAAUUUUCCACAUGAAGGUUCCUACUGGAAGCCAGUAGAUCACUCCUCGCUUGAUUUCCAUCCAGGGAGACUCCAAUUUGUAAGAGAGUAGGAAGAAGCAGGGGCCACACAGAAGCAUCUUUUUACUGCUGAAUAGAUUCUAUUGUAUGAAUAUAUCCCAUUUUCUUUAUUUACCAAUUUAUAAGUAUUUGAAUAAUU